UGGGUUAGCUGCCUUGUUCAGAACAACAGGUCUUUACCUUGUCAGCUCAGGGAUUCAAUCUAGAAACGUUUUAGUUACUGGCCCAACACUCUAACCACUAGGCUACCUGCCGAUCCUAGAUCAUAAUGAAUCAGAUUACAUGGAGAGGGGGGACCUGAUCCUAGAUCAUAAUGAAUCAGAUUACAUGGACAGGGGGGACCUGAUCCUAGAUUAGCACUCCUCAUCUGAGACACUGCCUGUAUGAAUAAGGAAUGCUGUUGUAAAGUCUAGUUACAGCAGGUGUUUACUGCCAUCUAGUGGAAGAUACUAAUAAAACACUUUAUUAUCAGGGUGGGGAGAUGGCUGAGUGCAAGAUCCAUGGUGAGAUGACAGAGCAGAAAACACUAUAUGGAGAGAAGUACAAAUAAAGUAUUUCUGAACAAUAAAGGACAGAGUAAGAGAAUAAAUACCUGGAAUGACAUAUUAUUACUAGUUAGUAGAUCUCACAGGGUUCUGUCGUCAUCUUUUUACCAUACACCAGUGACGUCAGAAUUGACGUGAUUUCCUCAUAUGAAAGUGAAAGUAAGGGUGUGGUCUACGCCUUUAUAAAAGGACUGUUGAAACUGUAGCGCACGUUUCUCGACAACAUUAGAAGCAGGAUAAAUGUGUUGAUUUGAAGGAAAGACGGACAGACUCUGUGAAUUGGUGUGUGAUAGUGUCACAGUUGUCGUCGGAAGGAUGAGACCAAAGCGCAGCGUGGUGAGUGUACAUUUUCCUUUUAUUUAAAAUGUCCCCAACAAAACAACAAACGAAGACACAACCGUGAAGCUUACAGGGCUAAAGUGCCACGCACAAAAGUCAACUACCCACACUGAAAGGAGGGCAAAAGAGCUACCUAAGUAUGAUUCCCAAUCAGAGACAACGAUAGACAGCUGUCCCUGAUUGAGAACCACACCCGGCCAAAACAAAGAAAUAAAGAAACAUAGAAAACAAAACAUAGAAUGCUACCCCACAUCACACCCUGACCUAACCAAAUAGAGAAAUAAAACGGCUCUCUAAGGUCAGGGCGUGACAGAGAGAUAUAUUAUGUAUAACCUACCUAAAAGCAAGAGAUCGCUAUGUGCACAGGGAAGAUCAGGGAUAUUGUCUCUGCGUAUUGAAACAGGUCAGAUCAGGGAUAUUGCCUCUGUGUAUUGAAACAGGUCAGAUCAGGGAUAUUGCCUCUGUGUAUUGAAACAGGUACGAUCAGGGAUAUUGCCUCUGUGUAUUGAAACAGGUCAGAUCAGGGAUAUUGCCUCUGCAUAAUGAAACAGGUCAGAUCAGGGAUAUUGCCUCUGUGUAUUGAAACAGGUAUUGUGGUGAAAUGGAGGAAAGACUAUGUAACUAUUGUGACCUCGAAGAAAUAGAGAAUGAAAUUCAUUUAAUCCUCUAUUGCCCUUUCUACCAUGAUAUACACUUGCUCUUAUUCCAGAAAGCACAGCAGAUAUACCCUGGCAUUAUGUGGCUGAGUGAUGAGGAGAAAUGUAAAUGUUUUUUUUGUCUAUUGUGUAUUUCCGUUUGUGGAAUAUUUAGAUAAAGCCUUGAAAAGAAGAAAAAGGGCUACCUAUAAUUAAAUUGUAAAAACAUUUAACUUCUAUGUGGUAAAUGUGUAUAUAGAUUGUGUAUAGACUUGUCUCCCAUAUGAAUCUUCUCUUUGUUCCAGACUUGGUUCAAAUGCCUUCUGUUUUCUUUUUUUCUGUAUUUAUUUAUAUGUGUAUAUAUACAGUGUGUAUAUAUACAGUGUGUAUAUAUACAGUGUGUAUGUAUGUAUGUUAUUUUAGUGCUCUUUUUUUCUGUAUUUAUUUAUCUGUAUAUGUUAUAUAUACAGUGUGUAUGUAUGUAUAUUAUUUUACUGCUCUAGUGAUAUAAUUAUUGUUUGCAUCACCUUAUUUACUAUUAUGUUUUGAUUUUUGCCUUCCAUUGUUUUCAUUCUUCAUGUGAUGUUCAAUGCAGAGAACACUGGAAGGAGAAUCAUCAUUUAAUUACCACAGUGAAUUAUUAUGUUUGUUUAUGUGGUAAUUAAUCCUAUAAGGGAUGGGUUGCAAGUUGGCGAUUUGACACGAAAAUAAAAUGUCAUUCAAUCA